rnacentral:rRNA from 1 species
CCUACGGGCGGCUGCAGUGGGGAAUAUUGGACAAUGGGGGGAACCCUGAUCCAGCCAUGCCGCGUGUGUGAAGAAGGCCCUCGGGUUGUAAAGCACUUUCAGUGAGGAAGAACGCCUGGUGGUUAAUACCCAUCAGGAAAGACAUCACUCACAGAAGAAGCACCGGCUAACUCCGUGCCAGCAGCCGCGGUAAUACGGAGGGUGCGAGCGUUAAUCGGAAUUACUGGGCGUAAAGCGCGCGUAGGUGGCUUGAUAAGCCGGUUGUGAAAGCCCCGGGCUCAACCUGGGAACGGCAUCCGGAACUGUCAAGCUAGAGUGCAGGAGAGGAAGGUAGAAUUCCCUGUGUAGCGGUGAAAUGCGUAGAGAUCGGGAGGAAUACCAGUGGCGAAGGCGGCCUUCUGGACUGACACUGACACUGAGGUGCGAAAGCGUGGGUAGCAAACAGGAUUAGAUACCCCUGUAGUC